rnacentral:rRNA from 1 species
AGUGAACGCUGGCGGUAGGCCUAACACAUGCAAGUCGAACGGCAGCACAGUAAGAGCUUGCUCUUACGGGUGGCGAGUGGCGGACGGGUGAGGAAUACAUCGGAAUCUACUUUUUCGUGGGGGAUAACGUAGGGAAACUUACGCUAAUACCGCAUACGACCUACGGGUGAAAGCAGGGGAUCUUCGGACCUUGCGCGACUGAAUGAGCCGAUGUCGGAUUAGCUAGUUGGCGGGGUAAAGGCCCACCAAGGCGACGAUCCGUAGCUGGUCUGAGAGGAUGAUCAGCCACACUGGAACUGAGACACGGUCCAGACUCCUACGGGAGGCAGCAGUGGGGAAUAUUGGACAAUGGGCGCAAGCCUGAUCCAGCCAUACCGCGUGGGUGAAGAAGUCCUUCGGGUUGUAAAGCCCUUUUGUUGGGAAAGAAAAGCAGCAGGUUAAUACCCCGCUGUUCUGACGGUACCCAAAGAAUAAGCACCGGCUAACUUCGUG